GAUAAACGCUGGCGGCGUGCCUAAUACAUGCAAGUCGAACGGAGGUAUGUAGCAAUACGUGCCUUAGUGGCGAAUGGGUGAGUAACGCGUUGGUGACCUGCCCCGAAGAGGGGGAUAACGGUUCGAAAGGACUGCUAAUACCCCAUGUGGUUAUAAGAGUUAGAGUUCUUAUAUCUAAAGGAGUAAUCCACUUCGGGAGGGGCCUGCGUCCCAUCAGCUAGUUGGUAGGGUAACGGCCUACCAAGGCGACGACGGGUAGGGGGCCUGAGAGGGUGGCCCCCCACACUGGCACUGAAACACGGGCCAGACACCUACGGGUGGCAG
rnacentral:rRNA from 1 species